rnacentral:rRNA from 1 species
GACGAACGCUGGCGGCGUGCUUAACACAUGCCAGUCGAACGAAGAGCGAUGGAAGCUUGCUUCUAUCAAUCUUAGUGGCGAACGGGUGAGUAACGCGUAAUCAACCUGCCCUUCAGAGGGGGACAACAGUUGGAAACGACUGCUAAUACCGCAUACGAUCUAACCUCGGCAUCGAGGAAAGAUGAAAGGUGGCCUCUAUGUAUAAGCUAUCACUGAAGGAGGGGAUUGCGUCUGAUUAGCUAGUUGGAGGGGUAACGGCCCACCAAGGCGAUGAUCAGUAGCCGGUCUGAGAGGAUGAACGGCCACAUUGGGACUGAGACACGGCCCAGACUCCUACGGGAGGCAGCAGUGGGGAAUCUUCCGCAAUGGACGAAAGUCUGACGGAGCAACGCCGCGUGAGUGAUGACGGCCUUCGGGUUGUAAAGCUCUGUUAAUCGGGACGAAAGGCCUUCUUGCGAAUAGUGAGAAGGAUUGACGGUACCGGAAUAGAAAGCCACGGCUAACUACGUG